CAUGCAAGUCGAGCGGAGACGAGAAUAGCUUGCUAUUCGGCGUCGAGCGGCGGACGGGUGAGUAAUGCUUGGGAAUGUGCCUUAUGGUGGGGGACAACAGUUGGAAACGACUGCUAAUACCGCAUAAUGUCUUCGGACCAAAGCGGGGGACCUUCGGGCCUCGUGCCAUAAGAUCAGCCCAAGUGGGAUUAGCUAGUUGGUGAGGUAAAGGCUCACCAAGGCGACGAUCUCUAGCUGGUUUGAGAGGAUGAUCAGCCACACUGGAACUGAGACACGGUCCAGACUCCUACGGGAGGCAGCAGUGGGGAAUAUUGCACAAUGGGCGCAAGCCUGAUGCAGCCAUGCCGCGUGUGUGAAGAAGGCCUUAGGGUUGUAAAGCACUUUCAGUAGGGAGGAAAGGGUGUGUUUUAAUAGAGCACAUCUGUGACGUUACCUACAGAAGAAGCACCGGCUAACUCCGUGCCAGCAGCCGCGGUAAUACGGAGGGUGCGAGCGUUAAUCGGAAUUACUGGGCGUAAAGCGUACGCAGGCGGUUGAUUAAGCGAGAUGUGAAAGCCCCGGGCUCAACCUGGGAACUGCAUUUGGAACUGGUCGACUAGA
rnacentral:rRNA from 1 species